AGAGUUUGAUCAUGGCUCAGGAUGAACGCUAGCGGCAGGCCUAACACAUGCAAGUCGAGGGGCAACAGACCGCUUCGGUGGUGCUGGCGACCGGCGCACGGGUGAGUAUCGCGUUUGUAACCUACCCUUGACCGGGGGAUAGCCCGGAGAAAUCCGGAUUAAUACCCCAUAAUAUCCAAGUACGGCAUCGUGCUUUUAUUAAAGCUCCGGCGGUCAAGGAUGGGCAUGCGUGACAUUAGUUAGUUGGUGAGGUAAAGGCUCACCAAGACCACGAUGUCUAGGGGGUCUGAGAGGAUGAUCCCCCACACUGGUACUGAGACACGGACCAGACUCCUACGGGAGGCAGCAGUGAGGAAUAUUGGUCAAUGGACGCAAGUCUGAACCAGCCAUGCCGCGUGCAGGAUGACGGCCCUAUGGGUUGUAAACUGCUUUUAUACAGGAAGAAAUCCUUUUACGUGUAAAAGGUUGACGGUACUGUAAGAAUAAGCAUCGGCUAACUCCGUGCCAGCAGCCGCGGUAAUACGGAGGAUGCAAGCGUUAUCCGGAUUCAUUGGGUUUAAAGGGUGCGUAGGCGGGGCAAUAAGUCAGCGGUGAAAUCCUGCGGCUCAACCGUAGAACUGCCAUUGAUACUGUUGCCCUUGAGUCUAGUUGAAGUGGGCGGAAUAUGUAAUGUAGCGGUGAAAUGCAUAGAUAUUACAUAGAACACCAAUUGCGAAGGCAGCUCACUAAGCUACCACUGACGCUGAGGCACGAAAGCGUGGGGAGCGAACAGGAUUAGAUACCCUAGUAGUCC
rnacentral:rRNA from 1 species